rnacentral:rRNA from 1 species
UACGGAGGAUGCGAGCGUUAUCCGGAUUUAUUGGGUUUAAAGGGUGCGUAGGCGGGUUAUCAAGUCAGCGGUAAAAUCGUGGAGCUCAACUCCAUCCAGCCGUUGAAACUGAUGAUCUUGAGUGGGCGAGAAGUAUGCGGAAUGCGUGGUGUAGCGGUGAAAUGCAUAGAUAUCACGCAGAACUCCGAUUGCGAAGGCAGCAUACCGGCGCCCGACUGACGCUGAAGCACGGAAGCGUGGGUAUCGAACAGG